rnacentral:tmRNA from 1 species
GGGGAUGUAUUGGUAUUCGACAGGAUGGUUUAGUUUCUGUCUGCUUCAAUCCGGGGGUUGCGCUGUCUCCCCGCAGAUCCGUCAGCGCAAAUUAAGUGCUAAUAACACUAUCUCUGACGCUGCUGUUAGAGCUUACGCAGGUUUCCAGUACGCUGGUGCUCGCGUAGCUGUUGCUGCUUAGUCAUACGACCUGAUUAGUUUCGGGUCUCGUCACUUCGGCCGAUACUCGCUGAGUUGAAGUGGCGUAAUUUAGCGGGUUAGUUGCUGCAAGUCCGUUUUGCUUGCAGGGGCGAAAUUUUUAAAGCUAGGCUGCUAGAGCUUUUUGUUCUUCUUUUAUUCUAGCGGAUGAAAAUUUAAAGAAAAAAUAUGAUUGUAAACGCGGCAGGGGCUCAUCUCUGGACCCGGGUUCGACUCCCGGCAUCUCCACCA